AUUGAACGCUGGCGGCAGGCCUAACACAUGCAAGUCGAGCGGAUGACGGGAGCUUGCUCCUUGAUUCAGCGGCGGACGGGUGAGUAAUGCCUAGGAAUCUGCCUGGUAGUGGGGGACAACGUUUCGAAAGGAACGCUAAUACCGCAUACGUCCUACGGGAGAAAGCAGGGGACCUUCGGGCCUUGCGCUAUCAGAUGAGCCUAGGUCGGAUUAGCUAGUAGGUGAGGUAAUGGCUCACCUAGGCGACGAUCCGUAACUGGUCUGAGAGGAUGAUCAGUCACACUGGUACUGAGACACGGUCCAGACUCCUAAGGGAGGCAGCAGUGGGGAAUAUUGGACAAUGGGCGAAAGCCUGAUCCAGCCAUGCCGCGUGUGUGAAGAAGGUCUUCGGAUUGUAAAGCACUUUAAGUUGGGAGGAAGGGCAGUAAGCUAAUACCUUGCUGUUUUGACGUUACCGACAGAAUAAGCACCGGCUAACUCUGUGCCAGCCGCCGCCGUAAGAC
rnacentral:rRNA from 1 species